CCCACGGCUUACUAAAACGUCUACGACAGUACGACACAAGAUCAAAGUAAUAAUUCGUCUCGUUAGGAUUACGAUUUGGAAAUGUUGCCAAAACGACAACGGAAAACAUAGCAAAAUGGACUUCGGCGGGAAAACCAACGAGUUAUCGUCAAAUAAAAAUAAAGAAAAGCAUGGACGAUAAUAUGCCCUUAAACAUCAUGACACAAUGGGUGAAAUUGUAUAAGGCCAAGAGUUUCCUGAUGUGAAGAACAAGAACAAUCAUGUUGAUUCGGUUGAUAAUCACGUGAAAGAAGUAAAUCCACAUUCUGAAAGCUUGGGUGCUUAUCAAAUCGACAAGUAUGGAAACUGUGUGGAACGAAACCUUAAAUAUCAUCAUAGCUCCACUUAAUAUUUAACAACUCUUUCAUAUUAUUAUAUUAUUCACAAUUUACUUUACUAAUUCAUUAGCAAAUUGUAUACUUUUUUUUUCUAUAAGAUUCACAAUCUGUAGGAAAUAUUUAAAUGAACAUUUUAAUAUUUUAGCUAAAUAAAAAUUAUUAUUACACUAUAAUAAUCAUGCAUAUUUAUCUUAUUUAACAUACUUUUAACUGCAAAAACUUAUUUAUUAUUUAAUA